AGAGAGAGCUCAUUAGAGAGACUAGUGGGUGCCAUUCCCCAAGCUGGAUGACAGAACAAGUCAUGACCUUGUGUGGAGGAAAAUGAGAUCCCGAGUGAAGUCUACAAUGUCAUUGACUCUGAAGAAGGACUCAGAGACCCAUUGGUGUUUAAUGACCCUUACUGGCCUAUGCAAUGGGAACUGGAUCUCAACAUCUAAAAUCCUUGAAGUUGAGCUACUGUGUCUUUUUCUCCAUGUGAAUUACUUAUACACCCA